GCUGGUGUGGCUCAGUCGGUAGAGCAGCUGAUUCGUAAUCAGCAGGUCGGCGGUUCGAGUCCGCCCACCAGCUCCA
rnacentral:tRNA from 1 species